rnacentral:rRNA from 1 species
CCUACGGGAGGCUGCAGUGAGGAAUAUUGGUCAAUGGGCGCGAGCCUGAACCAGCCAAGUAGCGUGAAGGAUGACUGCCCUACGGGUUGUCAACUUCUUUUAUCAAUGCAUCAAGUGAGGCCCGUGUGCCUUUUUGUAUGUACUUUAUGAAUAAGGAUCGGCUAACUCCGUGCCAGCAGCCGCGGUAAUACGGAGGAUCCGAGCGUUAUCCGGAUUUCUUGGGUUUAAAGGGAGCGUAGAUGGGUUGGUAAGUCAGUUGUGAAAGUUUGCGGCUCAACCGUAAAAUUGCAAUUGAUACGGGCAGGCUUGAGUACAUGUGAGGUAGGCGGAAUUCGUGGUGGAGCGGUGAAAUGCUUAGAUAUCACGAAGAACUCCGAGUGCGAAGGCAGCUUACUAAACUGCCACUGACAUUGAUGCUCGAAAGUGUGGGUAUCAAACAGGAUUAGAUACCCCGGUAGUC